GGGUUGGGGUUAUGGGAGGUGGGAGGUUAGGGGUGUGGGAGGUGUAGGAAAUAAAGCAAGCUGAGGAAGCCAUGAGGAGCAAGCCAAUAAGGAUUCCUUCAUGGCCUCUCCUUCAGUUCCUGUUCCUGCAGUGACUUCCCUUCCUGAUGGACUACAACUCUUAGGUAGUUAUCCCUGGAAAGGUGGAUCAUUGAUGUCUGUUCUUCAAGAGGAGAUUAAUGACCCUGGAUCCUGAAAUGUGAAAGGUCUUGUUCUCUCCCUAGAGCUGGCCACUUUUGAUGAGUGAGAUACUGAGAAGGAGAACUCAAGCCUUGGUGCUCCAGGGAACAAUCAAAAAGGACCAUCUCUACUCUCUGUCGGCUUGGUUGGGAUUCUCAUUGCUACUGCACUAUGUCCAACAUCUCCCUCUGCCAAGUUUUGUUGUCCUUAUUCUUUCAAAGGUGAUGCUGGAAAUGCAUGAAUCCCAUGAGUGGAGGGAGCUGCAGACUGAUGCAGAGGGCAAGAAUAGAGCAGAUACAGCCUUAGAAGCCACCUUCUUGCCCGCUACUUUAAACGUUCAACCCUAAACCUCACUCUGAACUCUGCGACUCAGUCUUCUUCCCCUCUCAUAAUCUUGGUUUUUCCGGCAUCCAUAAUGGCCCGUAACUGGCCCCUCUAGGUAGUACAAUGUUGGAAUAUAACUCAGAAUUUGGAAGUCCUGACUAUUUCUCCUCAAGCAUUCUCUCUAAAAUCUACUGUGCAUACACUGAUCUUUGAGAAGUAGGAGGGUAAUGGAUAAUUAAUAUCGCUGAGUAAAACUAAUAAAUUCUUUCUUUAUGCAA